rnacentral:tRNA from 1 species
UCCCUGGUAGCUCAGACGGUAAAGCAUCUGCCUGCAAUGCGGGAGACCCGGAUUCAAUUCCUGGGUCGGGAA